rnacentral:rRNA from 1 species
UACGAAGGGGGCUAGCGUUGCUCGGAAUUACUGGGCGUAAAGGGCGCGUAGGCGGAUGUUUUAAGUCGGGGGUGAAAGCCCGGGGCUCAACCUCGGAAUUGCCUUCGAUACUGGACAUCUUGAGUACGGGAGAGGUGAGUGGAACUCCGAGUGUAGAGGUGAAAUUCGUAGAUAUUAGGAAGAACACCGGUGGCGAAGGCGGCCCACUGGUCCGGUACUGGACGCUGAGGUGACGAAAGCCGUGGGGAGCAAACAGG